UUCUUCCUACGGGGCGCAGCAGUAGGGAAUCUUCCACAAUGGACGAAAGUCUGAUGGAGCAACGCCGCGUGAGUGAAGAAGGGUUUCGGCUCGUAAAGCUCUGUUGGUAGUGAAGAAAGAUAGAGGUAGUAACUGGCCUUUAUUUGACGGUAAAUACUUAGAAAGUCACGGCUAACUACGUGCCAGCAGCCGCGGGAAUACGUAGGUGGCAAGCGUUGUCCGGAUUUAUUGGG
rnacentral:rRNA from 1 species